CUGUGAGUAAUUCUAAUUUGUUUUGGGUGAAAUAUGGACUUGAAGUCAAUUUACGUUCUAAAUUUUGACAAUUCUGAAAGUUAAAUAAAUAACAUAGCAUUGAAUGCGUGAGCGCAAAUUGUGAUAUCAUUUACAUAUAUAAAAUGGCUGAGAAUAAAUCGUGAAUGAAAUCUGAAGCUUUAUAGAGAUAUGUCCGAGGCCUCUAGGCUAAAGAAAAUUCUACCUUCCACAUAUAUUACCGUGGGGUACAUUAAGUAUUGCCCGCCUAACUUUUUAAUAUCGGAGGAGCAAAGCUAAUAAGGCGUAUGCAUCAGAUUGCCUGCGCGAUAUGGCUAGAAGAACGCAUACCCGACGAUUGGAACCUCGGCACACUAUGUCCCGUACACAAGAUAGGUGACAAGACGGAAUUUGCCAAUAACAGUGUGGCUUAAGACCUGGUCAAUCCACCGUGGACCAGAUAUUCACACUGCGCCAAAUCCUGGAAAAGUACCGAGAAGGACAAAUUAACACCUACCAUGUUUUCGUUGACUACAAAGCCGCCUUCGACAGCUCUAUACAAAGGUAUUUUAAGCCAUGUCUGAGUUUGGUAUUCCAUUGUCAGAAACAGUUAGGAGAAAACACAAGACUUCGAUGAAAGAGCAGACAAUUUAGCGGCGAAGGCCAGAGGUAAGCCGUCAAUAAACUUUGUUAACUUGAAGCCUUUCGAUACGACGCAGCUUGAAUUAAGGUCGUGAGCAACGAACGCGUGUAAAACUGUGGAACAGCGAAACCUUUGAGGAUAUCCCGAUCGUGAGAAGAAGAGGCUGUUUCUGAAAGGAAGCAAGAAGGAGGAUAGUAUAUCGAACUCACUUAUGCAAAAUAGGUGCGGCGCAUCGAUGAGACGUUGGAGCAUUUUGUAUGUCAUUGCCCGGUAUACGCCACUAACAGACACCGGCACUUAGUUGGAGAUAAAAUGCAAGACAUAAACCAACUUAGGGGCAUGGUGUGGAAAACAAUUAGGGAUUUUUUGAAAUCCUUCCUUAGUCAGCAUCCGUUAUAGGCUAUUUAUGGUGGUCUACCAAAGGAGUGGUGAUAAAAUGCCACCCUGUGCCACUUUCUCCCUCAUAUUUAUAUUAUGCGACCCACAGAUUAUCCAACUGUUCUUUGGCAUAUGGUUUAUCCAGUCUCCAUGGACCAAGUCUACCUGAUAUUGGUCCAAGGAUUGGAUCAGUGUGUCCGUUUCCUAUUUAAAUUUCUUGGUGAAUCUUAACGAGCAAACGUUCCGUUCGUAUAAGUUGUGAAUGAAUGAAAAUAGUCUGUGACACUGGAAAUUCUGGGGGUUUUCAUGGUGCUGCAAUGUCUGGUGUGGACUUUGAGAAUUUUCCAAGGUGCAUGCGCAUAACGGAGGAAAACAAUUCUAUAUACGACUGUGCAAUGAAAUUUGUAUGAUAAUGACACCUAUGCAGGACAAGGAAGUUCUGGAUAAAUUACUACAACAGGCUAUGUUCAACAUCUGCCGUCGGGAUUGCCAUGAUAUGUUUUUCACAAAUCCGUGUGGCCACCUGCAGAUAUACCUCUAUUAUGAAUGCCAUAAUAAAAAUGAAAC